rfam:Dipodomys ordii ctg_broad_rename0002558, whole genome shotgun sequence.
AUGCUUCAGCAGGACGUUUACCCAAAUUACUACAAUAUAGAGAUUAUCAUGGCACUUACACAAGGAUGAUAUGAAAAUUUGUGAAAUAUUCCAUAUUUUU